UACGGAGGGGGUUAGCGUUGUUCGGAAUGACUGGGCGUAAAGCGCGCGUAGGCGGAUCAGGAAGUUGGGGGUGAAAUCCCGGGGCUCAACCCCGGAAUGGCCUUCGAUACUGGGAGUCUCGAGUUCGGGAGAGGUGAGUGGAACUGCGAGUGUAGAGGUGAAAUUCGUAGAUAUUCGCAAGAACACCAGUGGCGAAGGCGGCUCACUGGCCCGAUACUGACGCUGAUGUGCGAAAGCGUGGGGAGCAAACAGG
rnacentral:rRNA from 1 species